rnacentral:rRNA from 1 species
GUCCACGCCCUAAACGAUGUCUACUAGUUGUCGGGUUUAAUUAACUUGGUAACGCAGCUAACGCGUGAAGUAGACCGCCUGGGUAGUACGGUCGCAAGAUUAAAACUCAAAGGAAUUGACGGGGACCCGCACAAGCGGUGGAUGAUGUGGAUUAAUUCGAUGCAACGCGAAAACCUUACCUACCCUUGACAUGGCAGAAAUCCUCGAGAGAUCGGGGAGUGCUCGAAAGAGAAUCUGCACACAGGUGCUGCAUGGCUGUCGU